GACGAACGCUGGCGGCGUGCCUAAUACAUGCAAGUCGAGCGGACAGAAGGGAGCUUGCUCCCGGAAGUUAGCGGCGGACGGGUGAGUAACACGUGGGCAACCUACCCUGUAGAUCGGGAUAACAUCGAGAAAUCGGUGCCAAUACCGGAUAAUCAUUUGAAGUGCAUGCUUCGAAUGUAAAAGAUGGCUCCGGCUAUCACUACGGGAUGGGCCCGCGGCGCAUUAGCUGGUUGGUAAGGUAAUGGCUUACCAAGGCAACGAUGCGUAGCCGACCUGAGAGGGUGAUCGGCCACACUGGGACUGAGACACGGCCCAGACUCCUACGGGAGGCAGCAGUAGGGAAUCUUCCGCAAUGGACGAAAGUCUGACGGAGCGACGCCGCGUGAGUGAUGAAGGUUUUCGGAUCGUAAAGCUCUGUUGUUAGGGAAGAACAAGUGCCGUUUGAAUAAGGCGGCACCUUGACGGUACCUAACCAGAAAGCCACGGCUAACUACGUGCCAGCCGCCGCGGUAACAC
rnacentral:rRNA from 1 species